GAGAGUAUAGUUUAAUGGUAAAAUAAGAAGCUUCAAACUUUGAGUUCUUGGUUCGAAUCCAGGUGGUCUCA
rnacentral:tRNA from 1 species